UUGACAUUCCCUCAUGUCUCAUUGUCUUGGGUACACUGCCUAGAUUUUUCAGAAAGUGAUUGUUUCAAUCCAACUUCUUCAAACAUUUUCAAUCAUAAAAUAACUUCAUGGGACUACUUUUCGUUGGGUUAGGUACUUAUGAAAUUUUUAAGUUUGAUUCAUUUCCCUUCCAAGUAAAAGUAUUGAGAAGCAUGAGUUUGGUGGGGAUUUGUAAUUUUUCUUUCUAUUUAUUUUCCAUUAGUGACUGUAAUUUCAUCAUAUUGAGCAAAUUUCACUUGCAAACAGGCCUACAAGUGUAGUUACGAUAAUUGCAUGCAGGUUUAUGAAAAAGAGUUUCUGACAGAGAAUUCAUAUCUCUAUAUAUAUGGGGCCUUUGUCAAUGGCGAGAUGUUGUUGUCUGUACAGAGGAUGAAAGUACUGGUUAUAUUUUGCCUAACAAAACUCUUCUUGAAGUUGCCAAACAGAUACCUGUUACUCCAGCAAGUUAUGCCAAUUAUUGAAAUUGAAGCAUCCACAUAUUGAGGCUUCUGAAGUAAAACUGAAGCUUUGGUCGCUGAGGCUUCCACAAAUAUGAAAAUUCAAAUGUUACAAUAGAACGUGUUGGUGGUGAAAAAUUCAAUGCUAGUAUCAUUCCACAUCUACCACCUUCUUUGAAAUUUGGAAGCACUGUUACAGAACCUGACUGAAAAGGACUAGGAUCUUUGGGGCAUCCUGAAACAAAUGGUGAAGAGGAGUCUGACAUUCAUAUCUCAUGUCAAAGUAGAGAGACAAAUACUGGCAUGGAUGUCAUCUUCAUUUUUAAUCGGUGCAAUCCAUAACUAAAAUACGGUUUCAUUCAAUUGUAUUUUUAUUAAUUAGCUGUUCAUUUUAAUCAGGACAGGGAAGAGAUCAAAUUGGAUCAGAUUAGAUCUUCGGUGAAUCUACCAUUCCACUCAUUUUCUACCAGGGAUGAACAGCCAAAAGCAGUUAAAGAGGUCAAGGUGGAGCCUGUUACAUCUUCAAAGAACCUUCAAUCCCUCAUCAUUUGCCAGUGGGGAACAGCCAAAACCUGUCGCAGAAGAGUCCAGUGUUAGAAGUUCAAUCUGAGGAACCUCCUCCUGAGCCGUCUGCUAGGUCUAAUACCGAAGAUGUUAUAAUGUUGGAAGAUGAUGUAAAUGAAGAGGAAUCAACACAUGGUAACUUGGAAAAAACCAAAAGAACCCACGUGUUUCUGGGGAUAAGAAGAAAAUUUCAGCUGGUAGUCAAAGCCAAAAAGAUGAGGGAACGAAAGAACUUUCACUAGGUAAAAACUGUUUUGCUUUCCCAGCAACUGGGAAUCGAAGUGCAACAUUUCACUGAGUCUCAGGCAUGAAUUAUGCUGGUGUGUAAAGCGGAAAUGCAAUGAACUUUGGAUAUCUAAAACACGUUUCAAAAGUGAAAAAGAAUAUGAAAGUUGUUAUAAA